UACGAAGGGGGCUAGCGUUACUCGGAUUGACUGGGCGUAAAGGGCGCGUCGGCGGUUUGUACAGUCAGACGUGAAAUUCCUGGGCUCAACCUGGGGGCUGCGUUUGAUACGUGCAGACUUGAGUUCGGAAGAGGGUCGUGGAAUUCCCAGUGUAGAGGUGAAAUUCGUAGAUAUUGGGAAGAACACCGGUGGCGAAGGCGGCGACCUGGUCCGAUACUGACGCUGAGGCGCGAAAGCGUGGGGAGCAAACAGG
rnacentral:rRNA from 1 species